CCACGUCAACAGCAUAUUUUGCACCUUUGGUGUGGGGAAGAAAAAAAAGAAAGGAAAUACAUUUCAGCUACUUUCUGCAGUCUGACAGUAUGUCACAUCAUUCUUCUGAUUCUGGAAAACAUAGAGCUGCUAUCUCACAAAGCUACUACAAGUGCUACACAGGGGCAUGAUAGAAUAAUACAUUAGCAUUUUAAUUCAUUUUUCCUCUGAACAAACAGCAUAUCAGUAUUGUCAGCAACGUGUGAGUAACCAGAGUACCAUGUUGUCAUCUGCCACAGCAGGCUCAAGUUUAGCUAUACGCUACCCAAGAGAAAAGCUUUGUUUCUGCUAGUCUUUAGAGAGCCAGACAUUUUCCUAGUAAGUAUUCUUUUCUGACCAAUUGUUGCCAACUUACUUUUGUACUGCUGAAUUAAGAAACUGAACUGUCAGUCAAACUGAAGCUCGUCUGUCCUUUAUCUGCCUGGUUCUAACACACCUGUCUCCAUUGCAGCAGACCCUGCUGCAGCACAGCCUCCAAGGGCACUGUGACAGCUCUCCAGAAAGCCUAAGCUUGACUUGAGGACCAUGCUUGCAGCAUUCUGAAGGCAAGAAACAUCAAAAUUGGGGUCACCUAACAUGAGCUAGGUUUAAUGCGCUUACUCUGCGGGUACCCUCAUUCUACACAAGAAUAUUGCAGAUUUAGGCAGAUAACAUUUCACAAUUGCACACUUGCUCACAGGGAAGGGCAAUGAAAAUUCAUGCUUGAUAUGGCUGGCAAACAGCCAAAUGAAAUUUGCAGCUGAUAUCUGUAUCUCUAUAUUGUUUUUUUCCAAAAGGGUUGGGCCUCUUCCCUUCCUGGGCCAUACUGAUAACAGCCAGGUUAAUCCAGUGCCCUCUGGGCCGUGUGGAGUUUCAGAUGAGCUCUCCUUGGGAGCCAGUUGCCCUUUCCAGAUGUUUCACGCUCAUCUGCUGUCUGGGUUGCAAUGUGUAUUACCUCAAGCCUAUCAACAUUGUGCACUCACACUGAGGAUGAUUCUUGCACCUUAACAAACUGCUAGUUCACUCUGAGGUCAGUAGCUGCAUCAUUUUCAAGACUGUAACAUUACCUUUGGCUGACAGCUGUUAUUGCCAUUUCUUCACUUUGCUGGAGGACAAAUUGUGUACUAAUAACUUAGGGUUUGAAGGCAGGAAAUAAGCUAAUGAACAUGGGUAAGGUUUUCUACUUUUCUACCACGUCUUUUUUUAACUAUUAUAAGCCAUACAAUGAUUAAACAGCUUUAGUGUGUUUCCAUCUGUGUUCUGGGGGCUACUGACUACAAGCACUUUGUCUGCACAGCAUGAUUCCCAUCAGAUGUUUAACCAGGUCUCCGUCAUAUUGGCACUUGGUGUAAGGCAAUGAAGUUGAUUUGUAAACCAGCAAGUGGUUUUGGAGAAUCCUCGCAUGUUCUAUUCACAGCCUCACAACCCCCACGUUUGCUGACUUUCACAGGUUGUUUUGGCAUCCCACAAUGACUUUACUGUUUGAAUGAGCUUUUAAAUAACUUGGACAUAAUUACUCACUCAUAUGCAUAGACACACAAGCAUACGUGUUGCCUAGCUCACGUAAAACAUUUAUGUAUUAUUAAAGCAUUAAAAAGUGAGAUUUGGGGAAACUGAUUUUUGUGAAAUUGCAUACAAAAAUUAAGCAAGCACACUGUGGUUGUUAUGUUUAAAAUCACUGAAGAUACAGCUCGCCACAAAUCAACUUACCAUCUGCAAAUGAGGAUGAAGACUGUCACCAGAAUAAAGACACCGUCAAAUUUUCACAGAUUCAGGUCAGGCAGAAGCAGCUUAUUUCUACAGCAACAGGUGAGGUUCAGCCCUCUAUCUAUGCAAAUCCUGACUUAAAAGCAGAAGUGCAAGUGCUUACAUCCACUUCCUGCAGCUACAAUUCGCUUUGUGGUAAGUGUCUGAUAUGGCAGAGCAGCAUCUGCACAGAUGGAGACUUUGUCACAGUGGAUGUGCCUACGUGUUUCUGAUAACUGAGAACAUGCAGCCAGGUGGCCUUGAUGUGCAUCUGCACUGUUCAUCCCCCUCUCACUGAUGAUGAUGCCGUGUUCUUGACCAAUUUUUGGCCUAACAAGGGCAGCUCCCACAAGACAAGCUAUUUCUAUAUGAGGGGAGGGGCAGGUGUGGGCCAGGGCCAGGUUCUGCACCAUAGGGUGCAUGGAACAGGCUGCCCAGGGCAAGGCAGUGGGCAUGGCCCUGAGCUGCCAGCUUUCAAGAAGCAUUUGGACACUGCUCUCAGAUAUAGGGCUUGAAUUUGGAGUGGAAUGUGGAGCCAGGGGUUGAACACAACAAUCCUUGUGGAUCUCUUCCAAUUCGAGAUAUUCUACAAUCCUGUGAUUCUAUAAAAGAGACUAUGCCUGUUUCUAGAAAAUGCUGAACUAGUGAAAAUGCUGAGUUCUCUCUACUGACUGAGAUAAAUGCUAAAUAAUAUUUUUUCUCUUUAGGAGGAACCCUUUCAAGUGAUCUAUAUAAACUGCUUGCAGCUUAUGCUCUUACAGGUAUUAAAAAAACCAAGCUCUUACAACUUAUUGAGGCUGACCUGUGUUUCAGCUGUCUUUCAACUGAUUUAUUUAUUUCCAUUUUCUGAGUAAACCAGGUAUUAAAGAAAUAACCAAACAGAAGUAGGAGAAUUCUGAGAUGAAGAAUUAUACAUUGAUCUUACACUUCCCUAGAAAUCCACUCAUGGCUACUACUUUGAUACUUUUUUUUCUGCUUAGAGGUGAGACCAGUUGUCAUUUCACUGAAUCACGGAAAAAAGAUCAGGCUUGAAGGGAUCUCUAAAGGUCAUCUAAUCUGACCCUCUGCUCAAAGUGCAACCAGUGCUGAAGCUACGUCAGGUUGCUCAGGGUCUUGUCCAGCUGAGCUGCCAACACCACAGGGCUGGAGGACACACAGCCUGCCUGGGCAAACUGCCAGUGUGAACAUUUGCACGAUUAAGAAAAAGAGCCUAUACUGCCUUGUAGCAAAAAUCUCAGUGUCACUUGGAAUCAUAGAACAGAGUCAUGGAAUCAUUAAGGUUUGAAACGACCUCUAAGAUCAUCAGGUCCAACUGCUGAGUCAUUACUACCAUGCCCACUAAGCCUUGUCCUUCAGUGCCACAUCUAGCCUUUUCACAGAAUUCCUGGAUCAUUUUUGCACUGGAAAUUACAACGUGAUAUGUUUCUAGAGACAACCCAGACCUAAAAUGAAGCUGAGACAUAAACUCAUCAUCCAAGACUGGGGUGCUGAUCCCCAGCUGGAUGGGGCUGCCACCUGCUAAACAUGUAGUUCAGCACAAACCUCAUAUGUUUUGUGUCCUGAGUGUGCCAAAGGUUGACUCACACUCAGCAUGGCCAGUUAAAAGUAGGCACCGCCUUCUGACAGCAGCUUACAGUCCCAAAGCACCGCUGGAAGCACGAGCACAGGGAGAACCUUGCACUAGUGCAUACAUGGAAUCAUAGAAUUGUAGGGGUUGAAAGGGAGCUCUUGAGUCCAACUCCCUGCUAGCAAGUUCCCUCACAGUAGGUUGAGCAGGAAAGCAUCCAGAAGGGUCUUGAAUAUCUCCAGAGAAGGAGACUCCACAGCCUCUCUGGGCAGCCUGUUCCAGUGCUCUGUCACACUAAAAGUAAAGAAGUUCUUUGUCACGUUCAGAUAUAACUUCUUGUGUUCCAACUUCUGCCCAUUGUCCUUUGUCCUGUUGCUGCAUGCCACUGAAAAGAGCCCAGCCCCACGCACUUGGCUCCUGCACUUUAGAUAUUUAUAAACAGUGAUGAAAACCCCCCUCAGCUGUCUCUUCUCCAGGCUCAAAAGACUCAGAUUACUCAGCCUUCCUCAUACAGGAGAUGCUCCAGGCCCCUCAUCAUCUUUGUGGCCCUCCACUGGACUGGCUCCAGGAGACCCCUGUCUUUCUUGAACUGAGGAGCCCCGAACUGGACACAGCACUCCAGAUGUGGCCUUACAAGGGCAGAGCAGAGCGGAGGAUCACCUCCCUCGACCUGUAGGCCACGCUGUUUGUGAUGCACGUUCGGAUCUCCUUGGCCUUCUUGGCCGCAAGGGCACAUUGCUGGCUCAUUGCCAAUCUGCUGCCCACCAGGAGGGCACUCGCGCUAGGCUCAACUAGGCCUGAAAUCAUCGGUGUGGAAGUCCAUCUGCGCAGGACUUUUAACAUGACAGUCAGUGACGCAUAAAUAACGAGCUGUCGGCUUACAUUGAGAAACAAGAGCCGCAGUUUCACUGAGAUUUUUGAUGUCGUGGAGAUGCAGCGAGCACACGACAGUGGCUCCGCGCAGGUGACAGGGACUGCCCAGGCGGGGCCUGUAUGCGGCGGGGCACGGACGCGGGG
ensembl:lncRNA